UCUGUUGACUUAGUAUAUCAUUCCACUAUAAAUAAACGAUCUUAUCAUAGAUCCAUUGUGAUCUUGAAAUUAUAUAAUAAUGGAAACAUCAACCUUAGUCACCAUCUUUAUAUCUGGUUUACUUGUAAGUUUUAUUGGGUAUGCCUUAUAUAUUGCCUUUGGGCAACCCUCUCAACAAUUAAAAGAUCCAUUCGAGGAACACAGGGACUGAUUGAAAUAAUGAAAAAUCAUUUCAUUUUUUAGUUGGAACUUUAGGCGGUUCUCGAAAAAAGAUAGCGAAAAAAAUUAUCCCUAGAGUAAAUACUAAGAGUAAUGUAUAAACCAAUGCUUCCAUAAAUUCGAUCGUGGUUUACAGUUAUAGCUUCCGUACCUGUUUAUUUGGAAUCAUCUCCCGAAUAAAAUAAAGAAAGAAAAAGGAAAGGAAAAGGCAACGAUUUUAAUCAAGAUUUUUCUAGCAGCCUAUGUCAAAUAACAAAUAGAAAAUAUAAGCGAAAAAUAACAAAGCAAUCUUGCAUCAAACUACUUGUCUUCUUGUAGUUUGAUCUCCAAGUUUUUGGAAUGCUCCAAAUUCUACUUGAGCAUCCAAAUUUGGAUCAAUACCGGCAAAAACAUCUCUGAACAGGGUUCUAUCACCUUGCCAAAUAUGUCCGAAGAAGAAAAGCAAAGCAAACGAAGCAUGCCCAAAAGUAAACCAACCCCUCGGACUGCUAC